rnacentral:lncRNA from 1 species
UGAAGAAUUAACUAACGAAUUACGUUUCAUCCAAAAAGACCAAAAUUCAUCUUGAGAUUCUUUGAUCACAACUUGUAAGACAAAUCAAAAUUUCCGUAGAAACUAUCAAAUACUCGUUUGCUCCUCAAACUUCUAGUAUAGGAAAGGUAACUACCUUAGUACUUGAGGAUAAAAGCACCUAGAGUCAAGUAAGAAAGACAACUAUAAUGCUCGAUAUUUCAUAAAUGACGACAUAAAAAGAACCAUGUUAAGUAAUUUUCUGUUUACAAAGGGAAUAGCCACAUAAGGACAAUAUUGCAUGACCACAAUAUAAACUCAACCACCAUAUUACCAGUAAAUAGGAAGUAACAAAUUCUUGUCUCCAACUCCUAUAUGCCUACACAUCAUGCACAUCAGUAAGAAGUAAAUUAGGACAACGUGGAAGAUAUUUUUGUAGUUACAUAAACAGAGGAGAAAGAGAGUCCUAAAUUGUGGAGAAAGAAGAAAGGCAAAAAGCUUCUGUUGACAAUAUAUUUUAUAACGUCCCACACGUAAAAACACUUAAUAUAGGAAAAGUGGUGGUAGAGAAUGAAGAUAGAUUACAUGUAUUAGAGGAAGGGACUUUCAUCAAUAUUAGUCCUCUUGCAUAAGUGUCACUUGAUCUGAUUAUCGCGUAACUGCAUAUAGUGUCUUGAAGAGGAAUUCAGAAGUGAGACAAAAUAAUGAGAAAAUUGGUGAUAUCUGUCGACUACUUUGAUUAUUUGUAUGGUUGCAACAGUAGAAUGCAAAAGCUUAUCUAACUUCAUGCUUGAUAUCCGGAGCCCCUAAUCGCCAAGCAAUUGCUACUGUUGCAAUCCCAAGAAUCCACCAACAACAACCUGCAUUAGAUGCAUCAUCGUUUUCUGUAAAAUUCCAACUCUUAGCCCUUGAAGCAGUUAGCUUUCCUCUACCUUCUAAACUUAUUUCAAAAAGAUACAAAGUACUUCUAAGAAGUAAGUAACAUAUGCUACACACAUUUUAAGUAAAAAAAAUAUAGGAUAUAAACAGCUAAUGCAUAAUACCACCACCCUUAUUGUUUUAAAAGGUAAACCCCACGAUAUUUCACUUAGUAUCAAUAUGCUGGUAAUAUGCUGGUUGAGUUUAACUAAGCAAUAUUUAACAUUGCCAAUAAUUAAACAGUUAAUGUUUCUAUAAAUAUCGAGGCAAAGCACACAACUUGAUCUUUUCCGAGCUUUAGGGCUUAAGCGGACGUGUAACAACAUUGGCUUCAAAAAUUAUAUCUCAAGGCGCAUCUGUCCAAAUGCACAUAUUGCAUCAAUUUCCUGAAACUACGACCAUUCAAAAAUAAUACCUAAAUUGCAAUAGAGCAUAUUAGAAAGGUUAUUUUGAAUCACACGCGAUGAUAUUGGAAACCAAAAGGUUUAUCAGGGUGAUACUGUGAUCCAAUUAAACACUUAAUGUUAAUUAACAUGUUUCUUUACACAUGGAGAUUAGACACAAAAUAAAAUACCAAAAUAGGCAACUGGAUUAAAUGGCCAUAACUUCAUAGAAACAUAUUUGCCUUCCUCCCCCUCCCUCCUCACAUUUCCAUGUCUAAACCAAAAAUUAAAAGGGGAUUCAAAUAUAUAGCGAGAGUAAAUGCUAUUAAAACGAUUAAGAGCAAAUAAUUUAUAAGAAAACGCCCUUUUUCCCUUGUGGGUAUAAUAAUCAUAAUCUGUAUGGGGAAUUUUUUGAUAGAGAAAGGAAUACCUGAAGAGAAAGGGUCUUCAGUCAUUUUUCACUACAGAUUCAGAAGCACCAGGUUAAUCCUCAAGAUCUUUUAUGAAUCAGCUACAGAAGAGGAUGAAUAAAUCCAGAAGGCAAUGAAAGCAAGAAGAUUAAAACGAUGUAGAAUAUUUCAGAGAAAGAUAAGGCAUUGAUACGUGCCUUUUCCUUUUUAAGGUCAGAGGACACGUAUCUUAGAUGAUGCAUUAACAGUCCAAAAGGAACUGGAUAUUAUGCAUCUCUGUUAGAGGAAAAGGAAAAUUCAUAUCAAUAGCUAGAUUUUGCUAAUUUUAUAAUAUCCAAGAACAUAUUGCAAUCUCAUAUAUAAACUCCAAAUGCAAGGAAGUUCAUAGAUAAAGUAUUAUAUCCUAACCCUGAAUCUGAAUGUGAAAAUUUACAUAUAACAACAGUCAAACAUACAAUAACAAAGAGCAAAUUUACAUGCCUUUCUCCAUCUUGGUCCAUCUUUAGCCAUAAUAUUCCUGCAAAAGGAAGAAAGAGUUCAAAGCUAAAUUCUUUCUAUAACACAAUUCUGAUUUCAUAAAGUUUUGAUAGCUUAUGUGGACAACUGUAAUAUGAGCUUCAAUCCACUUUAGAACCUUAGCCUGCCUCUAAGAAUUUGCCCCUGGGAAAAAAGAUGUUAAAACACAUUAGGAGGUAUUUUCAAUUUAUCAUACUCUGCCAUGUAUGAACUUACAUAUUGACAGAACGUAAUUGAAAACGUUUUUUUCAUUCACCUGAUACUUCCUCGUUGAAACAAUUGGUCCCACCACCUGAACAUAAUUUUUGAAAUCUCUUGGAACCUUAAAGCAGAUAGAUACGGUUCAGAAUCAAAAUCAGACAUUCAAAAUUAAUAUUUCCACAUAUAAAAUAAUUCAGAAAUAAAAAACACAUAAAGUGAUCUGUAUAUCAGGCUAGACCUACGAAAGUUUUACAGUCACAAAAUAUUGUGAUAACAAAUAAAUAUAAUACGCACCAAAGAGAUAGCAAUUACACCAAAAGGAAAUUGCAGAAGCAAACUCACAAAACCUAGAAAAAGAAGUCGAAGAAGACAUGCAAAAUAUGCCGAUAAACGCAAAUCAGAUACUCAAAAAAAAUUCCAGCAAAAUAAUAGAAAUGGACCCAAGAGAGAUAGCAAGAAAGCGAUGAACCAGAGAAAGCAGGAAAAAGUUGCAAUAUUAGGUAAAGGUAAUAUAUUGUCUGUGUUGGAUUAAAGACACGUGGAAUCAGCAUGCUUUAGAAGCAAAUGGAAGAGACACGUACUCUUUUCAGGGCAAAAGUGCAUUGGUAAG